rnacentral:rRNA from 1 species
GAUGAACGCUGGCGGCGUGCCUAAUACAUGCAAGUCGAGCGAACAGAUGAGGAGCUUGCUCCUCUGACGUUAGCGGCGGACGGGUGAGUAACACGUGGAUAACCUACCUAUAAGACUGGGAUAACUUCGGGAAACCGGAGCUAAUACCGGAUAAUAUAUUGAACCGCAUGGUUCAAUAGUGAAAGACGGUUUUGCUGUCACUUAUAGAUGGAUCCGCGCCGCAUUAGCUAGUUGGUAAGGUAACGGCUUACCAAGGCAACGAUGCGUAGCCGACCGGAGGGGGUGAUCGACCACACUGGAACUGAGACACGGUCCAGACUCCUACGGGAGGCAGCAGUAGGGAAUCUUCCGCAAUGGGCGAAAGCCUGACGGAGCAACGCCGCGUGAGUGAUGAAGGUCUUCGGAUCGUAAAACUCUGUUAUUAGGGAAGAACAAAUGUGUAAGUAACUAUGCACGUCUUGACGGUACCGAAUCAGAAAGCCACGGCUAACUACGUG